rnacentral:sRNA from 16 species
GUCACCGACCCACCGUUAAUUGCUCCGCAAUUUAACGGGGGCUUGAAAAAGUCCGCAAGGUGACCAGCUUACUGAAAACUUCAGUAAACGUUAUUUAACUUAUGACACCUUAAGGUACGUGCCAGCUUUAAGCUCUGUC